UCCUUCUACUGUGCUGGUUUUACCGCGUCGAUAUAAGAACCAGCGUUGAAAACCCUAGGCUCUCGUUUCCCCCAAUCCCACCGCCGCACGCUGUCUCUCCCAUGUUCAUCCUCCCACUUAUCCACCUCCACGUCCUUCUCCUCCUCUCCUUGCGUCGUCGGUCUGGAAGCUGGUAGCCGACGCCGCCGCUCGCCAUUUCCCGCGCCUCCGGAUCUGAGCUCGCGCGCGGUGGCGCGACUGGUGGAUGAAAGCUGGGUCCUGAGCAGAACACAACGCCGUCCCGCUCCCUGCUGCCGUUGGAGAGGCGGGGAUGGCUCCUCGGCUUCGAAGGUCAUAGCCUGACGGCGCCUACCCUCCUGUUUCGGCCUGGGGCGUUGGGGAGUCAUGGCCGACAGCGACCUCAAGUUCUUUGCCUGACGCCGCUGGCCAAGAUACUGCUGGUAAUGUAUGAACCAAAGUAUUGUAUUGUCAGCCUCCUUUAGUCACUGUCUGUAUAACGUGGCAAUGAAUCCUAGAUGCUAGGGUCGCUUGGGCGUUGUGCCAGAUUAGUUUUUCUACCAUCCCAUCUGGGGUACAAUGAUCUUCCUUUCCUUUUCCUUUUCAAGACACGAGAUUUUUUUAGUAAAUAUCGCAAAUGAUCUCAUGCAGUUUCCACAAGACAAAAUGUGUGGUAGAAAGUAGAAUAUGAGUAGAAUUUGCAUGUCUUGGAAUCCAAGAUGAUCUGUUUGAGCCCUCUAAUUGGCGACAGGAUCAUCAGGCACACUCCAAGGAUGGUGCAGACCUGAAGAUCAUGUCACAACACACAUCAAAUUAGGCUGGAGUUGAGAUUAACUAAGGAGAGGCAUGCAUAUAUAUAAUUACAGUAGAUAGCUUACUCAGUAGGUGCACCAUGAGGGGCUGGAUCUUUUGGGCUUGUAGAUGCCGAAGCCACGAUGCAGGGGAACUGCAGGAAUAAUAGAUGUUGACUUAGAUUUGAAACUCUGAAUUUUACUGAUUCUUGUCCUAGCCCUCUAUCCCUAAAUCGAUUUGUACCUAGGUUCAGUUCUCAUUGCCAUUCACAAUGCAGUGGUUGUUCCUGGUUCUAGAAGAUACUGCAAGGAAACUUUGCUAUGCAUGAAUCACAAGAAAUGCAGCAUUUAGAUAUGUGAGCAGCCAUCUACUCCCUCCGUAAAGUAAUAUAAAAGCGUUUAGGUCACUAAUAUAAGAGCAGGAGGUUCAGGAUUAGUAUGGCACGAUUAGGAUUGUUCACUUGAUUUGUUUGGUCUGGAUUAGUACAACAAUGCAGUGAUAUUUGUUUUAUGGUGCAGCAACUUCAAGACAGCAAGGGGCAUCAGGCUUCACGGCUACACAUUCAUCUUUGAUUUUCUCCCCAAAUCUGAAAUUGUUUGACCCCUAAAUUUUAAUCCCCUUGAGUAAGCGAGAGUAUUCAUGGAAUAUGGUCUAUUGAUGAUGACAAAUUUGAUUGCAGCAGGGACUGGCAAAGUAAGUGCAGUGCUCACCAUUGCACAUAUAUUCAGGGCAAAAUCAAACUUCAGUCAGAAGAAGAAGACCAAUCAGGAGCUAUAUCCCUUUUAAAAGUACAUGUAUCUUCCUCUUUUUUUUCGAAAAGGGGGAGAAACCCCGGCCUCUGCAUCAGCAUGAUGCAUACGGCCCUCAUAUUAAAAAAGAAGUAGUGCCAACAUGGUUCCAAUGGUCGUAAAAAAGUAGAAAAAGCUCACACAGAGCCAAAAAAAGGCUAGAAACAACAACUAGCCAAAUCAAGAUGCCACAGCCGGCUGGGUAAAGUAGAUAGGAACACUAAAUACCUAUCCUAUUACAUGACCGCCAUCCAAACCGGUCGAAGAUAUCCCGAGCUACCAUCUCCCAGCGGACAGACCCAGUAACCAAAUGCUCCCUGGCCUCCGUCUGGGUGAGUGGCGACCACGAACGAAUCAGUGCCGUAGUCCGGAAUAAAACCUGCAAAAAUUGUAUACAUGAUAUUCUGUUAAAGACCAAAUCAUUUUUGCAAUUCCAGAUAGUCCACAACAACGCACAAGCCCCAACCCGAAUAUGUUUCGCUACGUUAGACUCAAACCCAUUAAGCCAUGUCCCAAAGAACGCAUAAACAGAAGUCGGGGGUUUGAUAUUGAAAGCAAUGUGGACCGUCUGCCAAAGUACCUUGGCCAGCGGGCAAUCAAAAAAUAGGUGUUUAAUAGUCUCAUCCCGAUCGCAGAAACUACACCUAGUAGAUCCUGUCCAAUUACGCUUCAUCAAAUUAUCCUUAGUUAAAAUUACUUGUUUAUGGACAAACCACAUAAACACUUUUAUUUUCAAAGGAACUUUGACAUCCCACACAUGUUUGGACGUAGGAAUGGAGUUCAAAUUAAUUACAUCAAUAUACAUUGAUUUAACCGUGAAUACUCCAGACUUAGUCAAUUUUCAGCGUAAUUCAUCGGGUUGUUGAGAAAGCUGCACUGCCAUCAGUCUCCUAACCAGACGGAGCCAUUCUUCCCAAUGAUUGCCCGCUAGCACUCGUCUGAACCGUAUAUUAAGGGGGAUAGAUUGAAAGACCGAUGCAACGGACACCUCACGUCGUUGAACAAUGCGGUACAAGGAGGGAUAUUGGAUGGCUAAGGGUGUGUCACCGAGCCAAGUAUCUUCCCAGAAACGUGCACUCGUGCCGUUUCCAACAACAAACUUUGUCCUAUUAAACAAAGUCUGCUUGACCUUCAUGAGACCCUUCCAGAAGGGUGAAUCGGUAGGCCUUGCUGUGACCUGUGACAAGGUUUUUGACUGGAGGUACUUGCCGCGAAGGAUUUGAGCCCAUAUAGCAUCAUUUUCCGACGAAAGCUUCCACAACCACUUGCUAAGAAGGCAUUUAUUCUUAAUUUCUAGAUUCUCAAUACCCAGACCCCCUUGGUCUUUCGGUCUACAGAUGAUAUCCCACUUAGCAAGCCUAUAUUUUCUUUUAAGCUCAUCACCCUGCCAAAAGAACCGCGAUCUAUAGAAGUCCAGUCUCUUCCUAACACCAACUGGUACCUCAAAGAACGAAAGAAGAAACAUCGGCAUACUUGUGAGCACCGAAUUAAUAAGGAUUAAUCGGCCUCCAUAUGACAUGAGCUUGCCCUUCCAGCAGCUCAGUUUCUUCUCAAAUCGGUCCUCGAUACACUUCCAUUCUCUGUUCGUUAGCCUACGAUGGUGGAUAGGAAUUCCCAAGUAUGAGAAUGGUAGCUCUCCCAACUUACAUCCAAACAAUUGCCUAUAAGCAUCCUGUUCAUCUUUGGCCUUACCAAAACAGAACAGCUCGCUCUUAUGAAAGUUUAUCUUUAACCCGGUCAAUUGUUCAAAUAGGCAUAACACCAGCUUCAUAUUUCUUGCCUUAGCCAAGUCAUGCUCCAUAAAGAUGAUUGUAUCAUCAGCGUAUUGUAGGAUAGAAACACCUCCAUCAAUAAGAUGAGGCACCAAUCCACCUACUUGACCAUUUUCCUUAGCCCUUCCUAUCAAGACUGCCAACAUAUCCACCACUAUGUUAAACAAGAUAGGGGACAUCGGAUCUCCUUGUCUUAGGCCUUUAUGUGUCUGGAAAUAGUGACCUAUGUCAUCAUUAACUCUAAUUCCCACACUACCUUUUUGCGUAAAUGAUUGAACCUGUCUGCGCCAGGCUUCAUCAAAGCCUUUCAUACGCAAAGACUGUUGGAGAAAUGGCCAUUUGACCUUGUCAUACGCUUUCUCGAAAUCCACUUUAAAAAUCACACCAUCUAAUUUUUUGGAGUGGAUUUCAUGGAGCGUUUCAUGCAGGACUACCACCCCUUCAAGGAUAUUUCUGUCCGGCAUGAAAGCGGUUUGAGACUGUUGCACCACAGAAUGCGCAAUCUGUGUGAGCCUGUUAGUCCCGACCUUAGUGAAAAUUUUGAAACUAACAUUAAGGAGACAUAUAGGCCUGAAUUGCUCAAUUCUGACCGCAUCCGUCUUCUUAGGAAGUAGUGUGAUAGUCCCAAAAUUCAAGUGGAAUAGUUGAAGCUGUCCAGAGAACAGAUCAUGAAACAUAGGUAGAAGAUCCCCCUUAAUAAUGUGCCAGCACUUCUUAUAGAACUCAGCCGGGAAACCAUCCGGUCCAGGAGCCUUAUUAUUUUUCAUCUGUGCAAUGGCAUCGAAAACCUCCUUCUCCGUGAACGGGGCAACUAAAAUGUCAUUAUCAGCAGCCGAUAACUGAGGCACAUCCUUAGUUCUGGACUCAUCGAGGGACACUGUAUUCUCCUCCGGCGGUCCAAAUAACUGCUUAUAAUAGUCGGUUAUGUAUGUUUUUAGGUUAUGCUGACCUAAAAUAGUGACCUCAUCCUGCUCAAGCUGAAAUAUUCGCUUCUUUCUGUGUUUGCCAUUAGCUAUUAAAUGGAAGAACUGAGUGUUUGCGUCCCCCUGGACCACUCUACGUACUUUAGCACGUAAAGCCCACUUCAGUUCUUCUUCGCGGAGUAGUUCUUUUAACCUCUUUUCCGCCUCAUUUUUAACCUGAAGCUCUGCUGGUGCCAAAAUGUUGGAUUCAGCCUUAAUGUCCAGGUCAUGUAUAAGAGUAAGGAGUCUAUCCUUUUCAAUCUUAUACACACCACUAAGGUGCUUAGCCCAACCUCGUAAGAAACUUCUCAAGUUCCUAAUCUUAUUCUGCCACCUCUCAAGUGGAGAUUUGCCUCGAACAUCUUUAACCCAUUCCCUGGCUAUCAAAUCUAAGAACCCUUCCCGUUCAAACCACGACGUCUCGAAGGAGAAGGUGUUCUUGUUACCCACAUGAUUCGGCUCCCCUGAGUCCACGAACAAUGGGGUAUGAUCAGAUAUUCCCCUCGAAAGAGCUUGCACCGUAACCAGCGGGAACUUCUGUUCCCACUCCACGCUUGCAAGAACUCUAUCAAGUUUUUCCUAGGUUGGGUUUGGCAGAGUGUUAGCCCAUGUGAAUUUUCGACCAGAAAGUUCUAUCUCUCUCAGAUCCAAGCUUUUAAUAAUGGUGUUGAACAUGAAGGACCAUCUGCCAUCAAAGUUAUCAUUGUUCUUCUCCUCUCUCCUCCCGAUGAUAUUAAAAUCACCUCCAACUAAAAUUGGCAGCUGCUCUGAUCCAUAGAUUCGAACAAGGUCUGCGAGAAACUCCGCUUUAAGCUCUGGUUGCACGGCACCAUAAACCGCCACCAAAGCCCAGUUAAAGCCAUCCAUCUUAGACCUAACUCAAAAAUUGACCGCGAAAUCGUCCAUCACUACACUACGGACUUCAAGCGAAUCGCAUCUCACACCGAGUAAGAUACCACCCGAUCUUCCUCGCGGAGGGAGGCAAUGCCAAUCAAAAUCAAUACCACCAACCAGAGAGGAAAGAAACUGCGGUGCAAAGUUAUCUCUACCCGUCUCUGAUAGAGCAACAAAGUCUAACUUCUCUUCUACAGCUGUCUCUGCCAGGAAUCUUCUUUUAGCCAAGUCCUUUAGACCUCUGCUAUUCCAAAAAAUUCCUCUCAUAUUUCAUCAUGGAAUUUUUUGGUAGUUCGAAUCCUAGCACUCCUACGAACUGUGGAAUCGGGAUAGAUCUUCCGUUUCCACUUACACUUAGGUUUACCAAGCUCAGGCCCCCGGUCCUCAUGACCGGGUUCACCAAUAUUAGUCGAAUCAUUCUCUGGGGAAACAUGAUCUUCCUCAGCGUCAUGGUUGGUGGGUGCUAGAUCUGCACACAAGCUAUCAAGCACUCUAACCCCUAACGCAUUAAUCUCAUCAUCAUUCAUUGGUUUAACUGCUGCAAGAUUACGAAUAGUCUCUAAAGCCCGUUCCGCCUCCAGAUCUAAAAUAUCAUUCACCGACUCAGUAAUCUCACUGUCCGUAGCACCUAGUGAAACUCCUAAUUGGUUUGCAUUAUUUAUAAUGUCCUCAUUAGAAAAAUGCAAUAAUGAAUUAGAUAAGUUGACGGACAUACCAGAUGUAAACGCAGCCUCCUGAAGCUUGGCCGCCCUCAUAGCGCACCGCUGCUGCAUAUCAUCUAUCUCGGGGACGUCCAGGAUGCGAGCACUCAUCCGUCUCCCCUCGGCAAUCGGGUCCGGUAUCCCGCCAAACGCGACCACCUCCUCCCUAGUAACACCUGGCAUAGAUCCCUCCGAAGACUGUACCGGGGUUACCUGAGAAGGCGUCAGCGGGCUCCCGAUCCCCCUAGACGGGAAUCCCCCACUAGGGACCCUGGUCAUGGGUAGGGGCGAAGAGGAGAUGAUGACGGGGGCCGCCUGCCCGCGCCCUCCUCCGACCGCAGCCGCAGGCUCCGACACAUGAGCCAUCAGCGAGGGAGAGACGGUCCUCCUGAUCGUCGAGGGUGAAGGGGGAGCCAAGGCCUCCUGCCCCAGCGCCCCCCCCAGCUCCGCUACUGUUGCGGUGGUUACCGCCACCGUCGGGGAGGCAGGAGCCGAGGCCUCCUGCCUCGGGCUCCCGCCCCUCGUACCGGCCGACCCACUCUGGGCCAACGUGCCUGACUCCGCCGAGGGCGUGGUGGGGUGGGAAGAAGGCGAGACCACCUGCCUUGAAUCUCCCCCCCCCCUCGACUCACCCUGCCCGUAGACGCCGACACCGGAGUCGCGUCCGCCUGAGGUGCCAGUGCAAGAGAAGCUCCCUCCAUGCUCCUCUCCGUAGCUCCGACCAUAGUCCUGGGCUGGUGACCCACAGAAAAGCCGGCCUUCCUCUCGAACUCCAACGGGGGGAGCGUGUACUCAAGACAAUCAUCAGAAUCUACCCGGUCACUCCAUAAUCUGGGAGGUGCCGAGGCUGGCUGAAAAGACCCAAAGCGCAGAGUAGUCAUGGGUACCGCUGGGGAAGCAGCAGGCUCAACCCCGGUCCCAUCCCCGGGCAACUGCGAAGAACCAUUAGACCCCUCGUGCGUGGGCUCAUCUGACGGUGCCCCCUUGGCCCCGGCAUUACCAUCACUGUCUUGCAUGUCAACAUCAUUACCAUUAACCGCAUCAUCAAAUAAAUCCGUGUCCUCAAACUCGAUGUCUAGCGGGAACACCACUCCCCUGUAAGUCUAGUUGACCUUAUCGGGCACGAACUCAAUAUCCAGAACACUCACCAAUAUCCGGGCCACCCCAUGGGCACGUGUGAACGCCAUAUCCACUUUUUCUGUCUUCCCCACCAUUAUGCCCAUGCUAGCCACCACUCGAGCAUCCUGCAGAGGCUUAGAAGGAGCCCCUGUAAACCGCAACCAAACCUGCGUAAGCGGCUUCCCCUUAGGCUCAACCUGCUUCCACUCAUGGAACUCCAAGAUACACGUAGUACCAGGAACUCGACACAGGCCAAAGCUCAAUAAUCUCUGCAGAUCAUCCACAGUUGGGAACUCAACCUUAAAAGACAUGUCCUCGAUAAGCACCAGUUCCCAUUGAGAAUCCCCGGGAACCAACUCCUGAAGCCUCCUCACAAUCUGUGCCUCAGUCACCUCUCCCUGGGUUGCUUUCACAAUCCCGGUAGUCAAGCUUAGUGUAUCCUCCGGGACCUCUCUUGCCGCCGGGGACUCAAAAAACAUGAGCUCAGCACAAUAGACUCCAUAAAUGUUCAGCGUCGGAGGCAGGUCACGCAACAACGGGCACUCCCCGGAAUCGUGUACCGGCUUGCCACACGUCUCGCACAGUUGGGCCACACAUUCAGCAAUGAAGUGACCCUUCUCACCGCAGCGGUAACAAAGCAUCCUUUCCUUCUUUCGAGCAUAUUUGGACGCCCUUUCAGUAACCUCCUCCACCAUCCCAGCCUCAGGAACCUCAACACUUGCCUCCAUCGGCUGGGGCUCGGUAAGAGUAUGACCAUCCUCCGUUGUAGAUGCCGCGGGAUCAACUGCCCUGGGCGGGGGCGGUCGGCGAAACCUCCCACGACCCCCACCCCGACCACCACGAUGGCCACGAAAUCCUCCUCUCUGACGGUGAUCUGGGCCGGAGGCCCCCUCAACAAAACCACCUGCCGUGCCAAGAAACGGUCUCUCAGCAGACCCGUCACUCUGCCAGGCAUAGCCCCGGCCGCCCCCCGUGGAUGAAGACCCUCGAUGCUGUCCAACUCCAUACGCGUCCGAACCGUCGUCCCCCCACUGACCUCGGGGCGGGUCAUAGGACUCUGUCGUGUUGGUGUUCUGUCUCAUUUGCAAUGAUCCCGAACGAUCCUGCGCAGGCCGCGCGACGUAGUGCGGUGGAGGCUUGGCACGAGGCUGGUAGCCGACAGUAGGUGCAGCUCCUGAGACCGCACCACCCCGGCCUGGUACUGCAGCUCCCGGCGCCGAGUGCCGUGUCCCGCCCCGACCCGCGGCCGGUUGCACACCGGUCGUCACGCCCGGUACCGGUGGCCGAGACCCUCCCCGGCUCGCAGCCGUCGGCGCAGCGACCACUCCUGGUGCUGGAGGUCUCGGCCCGCCCCGUCCAGGCAAAGUAAGCAGCGGCACUUGCCCUGGCCGGUGGGUGCCCAGAUUGCCCGCCCCACGACCAGGGAAGCCGGGCACCGCGCCAUCACCCGCCGGUGCCCCACGUCCAGUAGCCGCAUCUGUCGGCGGCGCAGCCCCGCCCCGACCCGAGGGGACCACCGUGACGGUUUUCUUGGCCGGCGGCGCUGCCGCCCCGCGGCCAACCAUAGGCCGGAGAGGCGUGAUCCUCUUCGCCCGACCCGAGCCGCACGCUGGGAAUCCCGGAGUCCCUCGCCUCAGAACCCUAGCGCUAGCAAUCGACGGCGCGAUAGCAGAAGAAAGAGGUAACGCUGCGCUCGUGCAUGGAGGUUCGCUACGUAGGAGAGUCAGGUCCGGUCUAGCCUGGGCCACAUACCCAACCAUCCCAGGCCCAUCUCCUCGCCUCCCCGACCGACACAUAGUCGGCCCAUCACAGCCCACCAAAAAAUUCAAACGAGCCGAUCGCAUCUGAGCGAUCUGGGAAGGUUCUGCGGACGCCAUGGCCGCCGCCGGCGCCGGAUGCACGCCCCUCCGCUUCCCGUUCUUUCGUCUCUUAACAGUAAUCCACGACUCCGGCUUAAUCAUGUCGAAAAGAGUAAGAUUCGGAAGGCAUACCUUGGGUAUAGGGCCCUUCCAUGGCCUGACCGUCGAUGCCGCAUUUCUCCGAUGAACGACACGUCGUACCACUUCCCUCCUCUCGUCCGGGUGAAGCCCCACCCGCACCGGAUCUUCCACCGGCACCAUUGUGUCUACGUUAUUGGCGACCGCAUCUUCAUCAUAACCUGCAUGAAAUAGAUCGCCAAUCAAAGAACUAGGCGUAGGUGACAGCGGCGAACGCAUCGCCAAGUCUCCAUCUCCGGCGUCGUCCUCGUUGUCUGACUCCAUCAGGGCCCAAAACCGGCCGCCAAUACCCGCCCGAGCCGCCGCGGGGAGGCAUGGCGCGGCGGCGGCCUCCGCGGUCCCCCGGGGACACACCCUGGGAAUCGCCCGGGGAGUCACCCCCCCAGUCGCCUCGCCCCCCAUCCCGUUCCGCUUCUCGACGGGGAGAGAGCAGCGAGCAAGCAUGGUUGUCAUGCUAUAUCCUGGAGAGAAGUGAUUGCCUGGUACCUAGGACGACGGGUGUUCACUUCUUUAUUGCUAAUGGAUAAAAUCAUCCAUCGUGAAUUUUCCAUCUGAGUGGCAACACUAGACAAGAGGAAGGUCUGGUAACUCUCAUUCAAUCCCUUUGGCCGUUUUUGGAUUUCAUACCCGUCGAUGUUACUAGGGUUAUGGGUUUGAGUGGCUAUUUCAUUUGCGGUCCGAGAUCAAACAUCUGGAGUAGGUCCCCGUGUUGGUUUGGUGGCCCGGAUUGGGGUUGGAUGGAUUGCUGUCUCAAAUUUGUUCGCUGUUGUGUAGUAAUCUGUACAGCACAACUUUGACGGUGCCUCUUUGUUUUGUAAUAGAUGGAAUUUUUUGGACGCAGAGGAAUUGAUCCCGGGCACCAGUGAUUCCGGAUGAAUAGUAAAAUCCGAAAAAAUAAUAAAAAAAAUCAAAAAAAUCUGAAUUUUUUUGUCAAGAAACUUUGAUGUUUUUUCUACAUACGUGCCAAUUUUCGUGAUGAAAUGACAUUUAUGGAGGUUUCAGCAAAAAAAAUAAAAUCAUGCUCAAAAAAACUGUUUUUGGAAGCAUUUUGGAGCAUCGAUUUUGUUUUUUUCGACGAGACCUGCAUGAAUGUCAUUUUAUCAUGAAAAUUUGCACGCAUGUGAAAAAUAUAUAAAUGUUUAAUGUUUUAAAUAUUUUUUCGUUUGUACUGUAGCAAAGGGUGUCUGUGAGCUCGAGCUCACAAUAGCACUUUCGGAAUUUUUUGUGCAUUUCUCUUUGGUUAGAUGAAUAGCUUGAUUGUGAUGACUUGUCGGCAAUGCAUGGCAAGGACAACAAAAUUAGAUCAUCUGCCCGGCGGAAAGAAACAGUUCACCAGCACGGGUGACACAGUGGACGAGGAGCAGUCCACAUCACCGUCGUACUCGCCUUCGAGCUGUCCGUGAUGCCAUCGCCAUCGCCUAGCCCCUCGCCGCGCGGGACACAGAGAUGUGCAAUGACGCCGAUAGGAAGCCGUCAUCGCCAUCACCUAGCCCCUCGCCUCACGGGACGCAGAGAUGGGCAAGGACGCCGAUAGGAAGCAGCUAAAGCUCUCGCCUUUGUGUUGUUUCUAAUGCAUUACUGAUUAAGCGUGUUUUCCUUGCUCAGGGUUGCCGGUGCAGGUACUAAAGUGCAGACCAACGACGAGAUCGGGAUUAAGCUUGUGAGUUUAUAAUCAGUGCCAAUACAGUGCCAGUAUUUUCCUGUUUGAUAUGGGUGCGAGUAUUUCUAUUUGGUAUUUAACUUGAUAAUGAGACAAGUAAUAAUCAAGUCUUGCUAGGGGUCUCGAGACGAUGAGGGGGGCGACUGGGGGUGCGACCGCCGGGAUCCCC
rnacentral:lncRNA from 1 species